rnacentral:rRNA from 1 species
GAUGAACGCUAGCGGCAGGCCUAAUACAUGCAAGUCGAGCGGCAAGUUGAGAAGCAAUUCGGGACCUAGAGCGGCGUACGGGUGCGUAACGCGUAUGCAACCUACCUCAUACAGGGGGAUAGCCCGGAGAAAUCUGGAUUAAUACCCCAUAGUACAUAUAGAGGGCAUCUGAAAUAUGUUAAAGAUUCAUCGGUAUGAGAUGGGCAUGCGUCUGAUUAGCUAGUUGGCGGUGUAACGGACCACCAAGGCGACGAUCAGUAGGGGUUCUGAGAGGAAGGUCCCCCACACUGGCACUGAGAUACGGGCCAGACUCCUACGGGAGGCAGCAGUAGGGAAUAUUGGGCAAUGGUCGGAAGACUGACCCAGCCAUGCCGCGUGCAGGAAGAAGGCGUUCUGCGUUGUAAACUGCUUUUAUCUGGGAAGAAAAGGCCCAUGCGUGGGACAUUGCCGGUACCAGAUGAAUAAGCACCGGCUAACUCCGUGCCAGCCGCCGCCGUAAAAC